ACUGGGCAUGAUGGCACACACUUGUAAUCCCAGCUAGUAAAGGAGGAUGAGGCUGGUGGAUUGCUUGAGUUAGGGAGUUCUGAGCUGUAUAAAGGCUAAAGCUGAUUUGGUAUCCAUGAUAAGUCCUACACCAAUAUGAUAAACCCCCAUGAACAGGGGCCACCAGGCUGGCUAAGGAAAAAUUAAAUGGACCAGGUCAGAAAUGGAGCUGGUCAAAGCUUCUGUGCAGAUGCGCCGUGAGGUCAGGCCUGUAAGUGACAAAUGUACCUCAGGCCUAGGCAAGACAGGGAGACCCAGUCUCAA
rnacentral:SRP_RNA from 1 species